rnacentral:misc_RNA from 1 species
ACACCAUGAGAGUUUGUAACACCCAAAGCCGGCCGGAUAACCUAGUUUACUAGGAGUCAGCCGUCUAAGGUGGGACAAAUGAUUAGGGUGAAGUCGUAACAAGGUAGCCGUAGGAGAACCUGCGGCUGGAUCACCUCCUUUCUAAGGAAAAAAAGCGAAGCUGACGGAGAGUAGGAGACUACUAAGAGAAGUCAGUGAAGCAAACGGAAGCACACGAAAGAAACUUUGUUUAGUUUUGAGGGUAGUACCUCAAGAAAAGUUAGUACAUUGAAAACUGAAUAUAAUCCAAAUAAAAACCGAGACAAUCAUUGAAGAACAGAUUGUAGAGCGACCGAGAAGAGCGAUCUUAAAGUAAGGUCAAGUAGACAAGGGCGCAAGGUGAAUGCCUAGGCACUAGCAGCCGAAGAAGGACGUGACGAACUACGAAAAGCUUCGGGGAGUUGUAAGUAAACUAAGAUCCGGAGAUGUCCAAAUGGGGAAACCCAAUGCAGUGAUGCAUUAUUACUAGCCGAAUAGAUAGGCUGGUAAAGGAAGACGCAGU